rnacentral:rRNA from 1 species
AACAAACGCUGGCGGCGUGCCUAAUACAUGCAAGUCGAACGGGGAAAGCUUUCGGGUGAGUACUAGUGGCGCACGGGUGAGUAACGCGUGGAUAAUCUGCCUUAGAGUGGGGGAUAACUAGUCGAAAGAUUAGCUAAUACCGCAUAAGACCACAAGAACUGCGGUUCAAGAGGUCAAAGGUUUUUCGCUCUAAGAUGAGUCCGCGUAAGAUUAGCUAGUUGGUGAGGUAACGGCUCACCAAGGCAACGACCUUUAACGGGUCUGAGAGGAUGAUCAGUCACACUGGAACUGAGACACGGUCCAGACUCCUACGGGAGGCAGCAGUAGGGAAUAUUGCACAAUGGAGGAAACUCUGAUGCAGCGACGCCGCGUGAGUGAUGAAGGCCUUCGGGUCGUAAAGCUCUGUCGCAGGGGAAUAACACAAUGAAUGUACCCUGUAAGAAAGGAUCGGCUAACUUCGUGCCAGCCGCCGCCGUAAGAC